CAUACACACACACACACACCAUCAACAACACUAUACACUUUUGGUUCUUAUCUUAUUAUCUUACUAUAGCAAACUGAUCCUUGUAUGAUAUUGAGAAAAACUACUUACUUAGACCUCAAACUUUAGGGGGUGGUAAUGAGACUCCGAGCCUGUUAUUAGUACAUGGCAUUGAUACAAUAUAAUACAGCCUAAUGCCAUUUGUAUUGGGUAGGGCAUAGUUAAACCUCAAAUGUUUUUUCUGGUUUUAUGUGAUGAGUUUCAAGUGUUAAAACCUCCUGUCACAUGGUCGGCUUUGAAAUUUUUCGAAUAUGCUUGAAAAAAAAUGUAGCUUAACUUUUUAUUUAUAUACCGUACAGAUAAUAUAAAAGCCUUUGUGAUAUAGUGUAGGUUGUUUAUAAAGUGCUGCUAUAGUGUACUAGGUUGUUUAUAAAGUGCUGCUAUAGUGUGCUAGGUUGUUUAUAAAGUGCUGCUAUAGUGUGCUAGGUUGUUUAUAAAGUGCUGCUAUAGUGUGCUAGGUUGUUUAUAAAGUGCUGCUAUAGUGUGCUAGGUUGUUUAUAAAGUGCUGCUAUAGUGUGCUAGGUUGUUUAUAAAGUGCUGCUAUAGUGUGCUAGGUUGUUUAUAAAGUGCUGCUAUAGUGUGCUAGGUUGUUUAUAAAGUGCUGCUAUAGUGUGCUAGGUUGUUUAUAAAGUGCUGCUAUAGUGUGCUAGGUUGUUUAUAAAGUGCUGCUAUAGUGUGCUAGGUUGUUUAUAAAGUGCUGCUAUAGUGUGCUAGGUUGUUUAUGAAGUGCUGCUAUAGUGUUCUAGGUUGUUUAUAAAGUGCUGCUAUAGUGUGCUAGGUUGUUUAUAAAGUGCUGCUAUAGUGUGCUAGGUUGUUUAUAAAGUGCUGCUAUAGUGUGCUAGGUUGUUUAUAAAGUGCUGCUAUAGUGUGCUAGGUUGUUUAUAAAGUGCUGCUAUAGUGUGCUAGGUUGUUUAUAAAGUGCUGCUAUAGUGUGCUAGGUUGUUUAUAAAGUGCUGCUAUAGUGUGCUAGGUUGUUUAUAAAGUGCUGCUAUAGUGUGCUAGGUUGUUUAUAAAGUGCUGCUAUAGUGUGCUAGGUUGUUUAUAAAGUGCUGCUAUAGUGUGCUAGGUUGUUUAUAAAGUGCUGCUAUAGUGUGCUAGGUUGUUUAUAAAGUGCUGCUAUAGUGUGCUAGGUUGUUUAUAAAGUGCUGCUAUAGUGUGCUAGGUUGUUUAUGAAGUGCUGCUAUAGUGUUCUAGGUUGUUUAUAAAGUGCUGCUAUAGUGUGCUAGGUUGUUUAUAAAGUGCUGCUAUAGUGUGCUAGGUUGUUUAUAAAGUGCUGCUAUAGUGUGCUAGGUUGUUUAUAAAGUGCUGCUAUAGUGUGCUAGGUUGUUUAUGAAGUGCUGCUAUAGUGUUCUAGGUUGAUUAUAAAGUAUUUUCGUUGGUUAUUUGGUAUCUUAAGAAGUGUGAUGUGCCCUCACCCUGGCUGGAACCUUCAAAUAUGGUACGUCAUGCAAUGGAGGAGGAGGAGGGGGGGGGGCAGUGUUGCUCGUCUCAUCUGUCAGUGAACGGCUAAACCUACAGAGUAAGGCAAUGUUAAGAUCCAGGAGAAACGGCUUCUGGGCGAAUAUCUUCAAUUUACAACUAGUAAUUAAUUAAGCUGGGGUGCUCGAUGUCGAUGGAGGGAAGCGCCAACCACGUUA